GUUGUCCGACUCUGUUGCCUCCGGGGCGACCCUGCCUUCGGGCGGGGGCUCCGGGUGGACACUUCAAACUCUUGCGUAACUUUGCAGUCUGAGUAAACUUAAUUAAUAAAUUAAAACUUUUAACAACGGAUCUCUUGGUUCUGGCAUCGAUGAAGAACGCAGCGAAAUGCGAUAAGUAAUGUGAAUUGCAGAAUUCAGUGAAUCAUCGAAUCUUUGAACGCACAUUGCGCCCCCUGGUAUUCCGGGGGGCAUGCCUGUUCGAGCGUCAUUUCACCACUCAAGCCUCGCUUGGUAUUGGGCAACGCGGUCCGCCGCGUGCCUCAAAUCGACCGGCUGGGUCUUCUGUCCCCUAAGCGUUGUGGAAACUAUUCGCUAAAGGGUGCUCGGGAGGCUACGCCGUAAAACAACCCCAUUUCUAAGGUUGACCUCGGAUCAGGUAGGGAUACCCGCUGAACUUAAG
rnacentral:rRNA from 1 species